CAUUAAAACCAUAGGUAGGAUAAUUUGAUAGCCUUAAUAUGAUCAUAAAACAGUACUCCUUUCAUUAAAACCAUAGGUAGGAUAAUUCGAUAGCCUAAUUAUAAUCAUAAAACAGUACUCCUUUCAUUAAAACUAUAGGUAGGAUAAUUUGAUAGCCUAAUUAUAAUCAUAAAACAGUACUCCCUUCAUUAAAACCAUAGGUAGGAUAAUUUGAUAGCCUUAAUAUGAUCAUAAAACAGUACUCCCUUCAUUAAAACUAUAGGUAGGAUAAUUUGAUAGCCUUAAUAUGAUCAUAAAACAGUACUCCUUUCAUUAAAACCAUAGGUAGGAUAAUUCGAUAGCCUAAUUA